rnacentral:lncRNA from 1 species
CUGCAUAUUAUAUAGUAUUCUCUGAAGUUCAUAAGUCAUGCAUAAAAUUCUUCUAACCAUGGGGAUUCUAGGUGACAGAGGUGCGUUGAUUGUAAAACAUUUGAAAGUGAAACACCUAAACUAUUUCCCACAGCAUGUAGCUAUUUCUAAAUUAAUACUUAAACAACUCAUGGAGUUUAUAUAAAAAAACCAAUCAAGAAAUGGGCAGAAGAUCUAAACAGACAUUUCCCCAAAGAAGAUACACAGAUGGACAAAAAACACAUUAAGAGAUGCUGAACAUCACUAAUUAUUGGAAAAAUGCAAAUCAAAACUACAAUGAGGUACCACCUCACACCAAUCAGAAUGGCCAUCAUCAAAAAGUUUACAGACAAUAAAUACUCGAGAGAGUAUGAAGAAAAGAGAACACUUCUUCAUUGCUGAUGGGAAUGUAAAUUGGUGCAGCCACUGUGAAGGGCAGCAUGGAGUUUCCUGAAAAACUACCAUGUGAUUUAGCAAUCCUACUCUGGGGCAUAUAUCCAAAGAAUACCACAUUUCCAAAAGAUUCAUGCACUCCAAUGUUCAUUGCAGCACUAUUCACAAUAGCCAAAAUAUGGAAGCAAUCUAAAUGUCCAUCAGCAGAGAAAUGAAUGAAAAAGAUGUGGUACAUAUAUCCGACAGAAUAUUUUUCAGGCAUAAAAAAAAAUGAAAUAAUGCCAUUUGCAACAACAUGGAUGGACUUAGAGAUUAUCAUACUGAGUGUCAUAGUCAGACAGAGAAAGACAAAUAUCAUAUGAUAUCAAUUAUGUAUGGAAUCUAAUAAAAAUUAUACAAAAGAACUUAUUUAAAACACAGAAACAAAUUUCAAAACCAAUCUUAUGGUUAUUAUAGGUGAAACCAUUGUGGGGAGGGAAGGAUUGGAGAGUGGGAAUGACAUAUAACACACUACUGUAUAAAAUAGAUGAUUAACAAAGACCCAAUAUAUAGCACAGAGGAAUCUACUCAAUAGUUUGUAAUAACCUACAUGGGAAAAAAGAAUGGACUGAUUCACUUUGCUGUACACCUAAAACUAAUACAACAUUGUAAUUCAAUUAUACUCCAAUACAAUUAAAUUAAAGAACUCUUUCUCUGUACCUGGUAAACACUGAGGAGGGUUUAAUUAGGUUAAGAUUGUUGAUGCUUUAGAUCAACCCUGGAGUCCCUUCAUCUAUGUUUCCAUAUAUCUUCUGUGUAUCUGUUCUACUAGUGUAUUUGUGGGUAUUUGUGGGUGUCUGUGUUAUAUGCAGUGGUGUUUGCAACCCCCUAGCAUGUGUUAAGUGAAUAAAUGAGUGAGUGAAUAUCUGAAUAAUUCUAAUCACCUCCAGACUCAGAAAUAGUACAUAUCCAUGUAUUCAUUUCUAAUUACACAAAUGCUUGCCACUUGUUAGAAGGAUCUUUAGCCUUUUUGCGGGAGUGUCCUUGGAGGAUAGCUAUCAGUUAUGGAAGGUCAGAUAAAAGGAGAAGACAUGACAUGACUUAUGUAGGAGACAGGUUCAACAUUUAGUACAGAGCAAGAAUUCAGGGUUCAAUCAGGAACAUAGAAACCUUAAAGACAGGAGAAAAGAUCCAACUGGGCUGAGAAUCAGAUCAGCAAUAGAAUUUGGAAUUGCAUAUAAAAGAAAGCAGAGGCUUUAAACUGAGCUGAGAAAAAGGUAAGGCAGUAAGAAAAACAGGAACUAGAUUUGGUCUUGGGGAUCAGUUAAAAUUGGGAACUAAGACUUUGUUGCAUAGACAAAUAAAGGACCUCGUCAAGAAAUUUGGGACAUGUGUUCCAUAUUUUAGAGGGAUCAUAUUUUAGAAUAAUAGGCAAAAUUUUACAAGGCCUUCUUGAAUUUUUGCUAAUAGCAUUUCAAUUUUUUUCACAUUGAAUGGUAUGAAUAAAAUAGAAUUUUGGGGGGGGGAUAAUUGGAAGCAUGGAAUUUAGAAUUUCAACCAUUUACUGUAAUCUUUAUAAAAUCCUACAAAUUUAAUAAAACAGCACAAACUGCAAAAUAAACUAAUUUUAAAACAUCUAAUUGUCUAAUUCUUUUUCAUCAAUGAAGGAAAGUGGGUUUCGUCUAACAUCAUUUUCCUUAUGUUUGGCUUUGAAAUAAUGUAUUAAGUACUAUACGCAGACAUUUUAAAUUUUAAAAGUUCCAGUGCAUAUGUUCUUCAGUUUUCUUAUAGUAUUCAGUAAAAGUAACAAGAAGAAAUUUUUAAACCCACCUGUUUCUCAGGUAAAAUAUUUUUCUCUUAAAAAUCUGGCAGAUAUCCUUUGGGAUUCCAUUUUAGAACUAGAAGCCACAAUGUAAUAUUAUCAAAGCAAAUUAAUAACUUAAAAUAUAACCAAUUUACAAUGUGAAAAUAAAUUUAAAAUGGAGUGAGGAAACCCUGAAGGGAGAGCUCUCAGGCACAUACCACUCACUACAACCUGUAUAAUCAGUUAGAAGAAGAAAGAUAAGAAUUGUUUUAAUGAGCUCUGUUUGUAUAUAGAAUUCAUUUAUAAAAUUCUCUUGGUCUCAACUUCUUAUGCUUGAUAAGAAUGUUCCAUUUCUUUCAAGGUAGGAUAUUUUUGACAUGGGAAUUACAUCUUCUGUUUUUAAGAAAAGAAAGAUCCUUCCUGCACCAGCAACAAUGUACUAGUCACUGCUUGCAGCCAGAAAUGCCACAACCUUGAGCUCCUGUUCUUCUCCCGUAAACUUUCAGUCCAAACAACGCUCCCCAAUUUCCUCCUAAAGCCUAAUAAAAGCUGACCUUCCCUUUGUCUCUUUAGAAUUGUCUAAGAUUCAACAUUGCUUGCCUGUUCCAAACUGUAAUUCUCUGCUAUUCCUGAAUACACCCAUUUGCUGGUAAAAUAACUGGCUACAUUAUUUUUGAGGUUGGCAACAAUAAUUUUAUACUAAAAUGAAAUUUAACAACACAAAAACAGAAACUAUUGUUCUACAUCACUAUAUAUAUACACGCACACACACAUAUACAUAUUCAAGUUUUUUUUCUUAUUAUGCAGCUAUUUGGCUUAGUCUUAAAUCAAUGUCAAUGUAUAAUAGGUCAAUAGAAAUUUAUAUAAAUUAUUGCUCAAACUCAUCACAAUGUCGGUAGAGUUAAUCAGUGUAAGGAGUUAGUGGUUAAGUUCUUUGUGUUCAGUCUUCUGUAAAAAAUAAAGGAAUGUAUGAUUGAAGGAAGAAAAAGCAAAUAAACAAAAUUUUGAUGUGUAGUACUGAAUAUCAAGAAUAUACCCACAUAGUAAGGAAAGACAAAAAAAAAAAGUCAGAAAGAAAAGAAAUCUGAGUGAACAAUGAAACAAUAAUAAACCUUUGUCUUUUGCUUCAGUUCAAAAUGUGUCCAGAGAAGGUAUCUAAAAACCAUUUUGUGUAAAAUUUUGUUUUUAUUCUACAAACGAGUUAACAAAGACUUCUUUAUGACUAGAAGAAGAUCUUUUGUCCCUUUUCUGUGUGUCCAUCUGUUUCCCUCAGGCUUUAAUUAUAAAAUGAGAUCACUAGGUAACAUUUAAACUAACUCCUGACUUAUGCUCUACUGACUCAACACAAUGCCUUUCCUAACCUAUUGAUUCCUUUCCCAGGUUAAAAGGAGUAAGAACAAAGAAUUAAGUAGUUAGAGAAGAGUGACUAGAUCUCUAAUUCCAGUUUCCCCCUUAGCAAAUCUGCAGGCAGACCACAUGGACAAGACAACAUCCUAAGGGGGAGCAGGGGAAGUCAGCAGAUCUCCAAGCAAUGGAAUAGUGGUGAAGAAUCUGACCUCCUGCUUUAAUGAUUAACUGUGAUUAUUUCCCCUCUUUCCCUUUAAAAAUGUUCAUGGCCAAGAGGAACUGUCAGAGUUGGUUUGGGAUAGGUGUCUGCCUUCUCCCCAGGUUGGUGGCAUCCUGAAUAAAGCAACCUUUUCUUCUUAGGAACAUUUGCCUCUUAAGUAUUGGCUUUUAGGCGGCGAGCAGCCAAACCUAAGUUCAGUAACAUGACACCCUAAAAGUAACUCUAUGGGAGGAAAAACAUCAGAAUAUGACCUCACAUCACUGAUUAAUCUGCCUCUUUGACCUUUAAAUAGUCCAGUGAAUUAGUGUGAACUUCUAGAUCCCCUUACUGAAAUUCUAGAGUUAUCAUCUAUAAUGGCCUUCAAUCUAAUUCAUGAGAAUCAGGCCAACUUCCCCAGUCCUCUGUUUCCCCUAUAUCAAAGGCCGAGAUCAUAUUUCUCAUUGUGUAGCUGGAAUAAGAGGAAGGCUAAUAGGAAAUAUUUACAGUCAUCCAGUAUGGGAUUUCUGAUACUGUGCCUCACCAUCUUAGAGGACAACCAUCAAGAAAACACAGGGGAGAUGAUGGCACUGAAAAGGGACUGAAGUGCCAGUCCUGAUUUCUCUACACUCUUCAUGCCAGUCACACCCUUUUCAGUACACAACAUGUAACAGUUACAGAAACAAUGUCAAGAACCCCUAAUUUGCAGAGCACAUUAAAGAUUAGAUUCCCACACACAUGAUAUUUUUCCCCUAAAACCCUCCCUAUAGCACAAGAAUCCUUGGUGACCUUUUUGGAUGGGGCUGAGCUAGAACAAAAACUUGAAAGGGUUAUGGAGGGACAAAAGAAGGAUCUGUAUCCAGCUGGCCCUCCUACUCCCAGGGCUUUAAAGAAAAUAUUCCUUCUUACCGAGAGAGCUGGAAUUAGAAGUCUGUCAUUCUUUAGUGACCCAUGGUCUACACAUUUUUGUAGACCCCUGAUCAACCCUCACUAGAAGUGAGCUGCCUUCCCAUGAGCUACCUAGUGGGGAAGUACUUGCCCCUGCCCUACCCUGCAGCCACUUCCAGUAAGGGGUGGGCAGCCUGCAGAGUCAGCCCAGCUGAGGAGCAGCAACCCUGCCAUCCUGUGCAAGAGCUUUCUCUGUCUGCAUUCUGAUACAUCCUGUUUAUGUACUUUAUUACAAAUCUUUAUCAUAAUUAACUAGAUCAUUUUAUUUUCUGAUUUUUUCCCAAUACAAAUCUGUAACAAUAGAGACAUUAAAAGACUGCACUCUGUCCAUAUAUCUCUUGAUUUUGUGAAAAUACAUAUUUUUUAAAAGUAUAUUUGAUUCACAAUGUUGUGCCAAUUAUUGUUGUACAGAAAAGUGACUCAGUGUUACAUAUGUAUACAUACUUUAUUUUUAUAUAUUAUUUUCCAUCAUGGUCUAUUCCAGAAGAUUGGAUAUAGUUCCCUGUGUUAUAUAGUAGCACCUUUUGGUCUAUCCAUUCCAAAUGUAAUAGUUCUCAUUUACUAACAUCAAACUCCCAGUCCAUCCCACUCCUUCCCCCCUACACCUUGGAAAUCACAAUCUCUUCUCCAUAUCUGUGAGUCUGUUUCUAUUCUGUAGAGAAGUUCAUCUGUGCCAUAUUUUAGAUUCCACAUAUAAGUGAUAUCAUAUGGUAUUUGUCUAUUUCUGACUUCACUUAGUGUGAGAAUCUCUAGUUGCCUCAUGUUGCUGCAAAUGGCAUUAUACUUUUUUCUUUUAUGGCUGAGUAAUAUUCCACUGUGUAUAUAUAACAUAUCGUCUUAAUCUAAUCAUCUUUCAAUGGACAUUUAGGUUGUUCCCAUGUCUUAGCUAUUGUAAAUAGUGCUUCAAUGAACAUCCAAGUGCAUAUAUUUUUUUGAAUUAUGGUUUACUCCAGAUAUAUGCCCAGGAAUGGGAUUACUGGAUCAUAUGGUAGUUCAAUAUUUAGUUUUCUGAAGAAGCUCCAUAUUGUUUUCCAUAGUGAUUAUACCAAUUUACAUUCCCACCAACACUGUAGAAGGGUUCCCUUUUCUCUAUGCCCUGUCCAGCAUUUCUUGUUUGUAGAUUUAUUAAGGUUACAGUGGGGGAAUUUAUGUCUGAAGACAUGUUUGGGUGUCAAAACUGGGGAGAGUAAGGCCCUACAGGAAUACUUUAAAUAUUGCAUUAUGGAAUUCAUUUGCAUUGUAAAAUAUUUGACAGUCACCCCCCCAUAAUAAACGUGUAUCUGACCAGAAAUGUUAAUAAUGCAGGGCUGAGAAGUGCCAGGUUAUAGAAACACCUGUUUGUCAUUACUGGC